AAAAUACUCCCUUCGUCUCAAAAAAUUUAUCUUAGGUUUGUUUAGAAAUAGAUGUAUCUAAAUACUAAAAUAUGACUAGACACAUCCAUAUCUUGACAAAUUUAAGACAAUUUUUUUGGAAUGUAGAGAGUAUGUU
rfam:Hordeum vulgare subsp. vulgare, WGS project CAJW01000000 data, contig: morex_contig_1561357